UAUGUGAUCGUCUCUCGCAUAUCAAUAAGCGGAGGAAAAGAAACUAACAAGGAUUCCCCUAGUAACGGCGAGUGAAGCGGGAAGAGCUCAAAUUUGAAAUCUUAAAGGGUUUCCCUUUACGAAUUGUAGUUUAAAGAAGUGUUUUCUGUUGAGGUUUUGGUAAAAGUUCUUUGGAAUAGGACAUCAUAGAGGGUGAGAAUCCCGUAUUUGACCUUUACUUUCAACUUUGUGAUACACUUUCAAAGAGUCGGAUUGUUUGGGAAUGCAGUCCAAAAUGGGUGGUAAAUUUCAUCUAAAGCUAAAUAUUGGCGAGAGACCGAUAGCGAACAAGUACCGUGAGGGAAAGAUGAAAAGAACUUUGAAAAGAGAGUUAAACAGUACGUGAAAUUGUCAAAAGGGAAGCGUUUGACACCAGUGUUGUUUUUCUGAAAAUCAAUUAAAGAACUGUUUAUGCUAAGUUGUUUAGACUUUAUCAGCUAUCUGCUUUAGUUUUGAGCUUUUCUUUAAUGCACUUUUCAGUUAACAAGUCAACAUCAAUUUCUUUUGCUGUAAAAAAGCUUGAGGAAGGUGGCUUGAGAUUCGUCUUAAGUGUUUAUAGCCUCUUGCCUAUGCAGUCGGAGAGAUUGAGGUCUGCAGCGUAGAUCCUUCGGGGCUAAAUGCAUUUGUGCUAAGUUAUAGCAUUUUAUAGACAACUUGUUGACUAUGAUUUGUCUUGUAGCUUACUCGCUUAUGUUAUUUUACCUACGCUUAGGAUGUUGAGUAGCGACAUACGCAC
rnacentral:rRNA from 1 species